UUUUUUUUUUAGGGCCACACCUGUGGCAUGUGGAAGUUCUCAGGCCAGGGGUCGAAUCAGAGCCGCAGCUACUGGCCUAUGCCACAGUCACAGCAACUCCAGAUUCAAGCUGCAUCUGUGACCUACACCACAGCUUGCAGCAAUGCUGGAUUCUUAACCUACUCAGGCCAAGGAUCAAAUGCGCACCCUCAUGGAUACUAGUCAGGUUAGUCAGAUUCUUAACCCCCCAAGCCACAACAGGAACUCCCCCUUAUGGAUGAUUUGUCCACUGCUGUAAGUGGUGUUAAAUUCCCCCACUCUUAUUGGGUAAUUACUGACUUCUCCUUUUAUAAUGAGGUGCUCCUAUGUUGGAUGCAUGUACAUCUCCAGUUGUUAUAUCUUCUUCUUGGAUUUAUUCUUUGGUCAUUAUGUAAUGUUCUUUCCAAUGUCUCUUAUAACCAUCUUUAUUUUAAAGUCUAUUUUGUCUGGUAUGAGUUUUGCUACUCCAGGUUUCUUCUGAUUUCCAUUUGCCUGGAAUAUGUUUUUCAUCCUCUCAUUUUGUCUGUAUGUGUCCCUAGAACACAUUUCUUAUAUUUUUUGUGGACAGCAUAUAUAUUAGUCUUACUUUUGUAUCCAUUCAACCAGUCUAUGUCUUCUGGUCAGAGCAUUUAAUCCAUUUACAUUUAAGGCAAUAAUUGAUAUGUGUGUUAUUAAUGCCAUUUUGUUCAUUGUUUUGGAUUUGUUUUUGUUGGUCUUUUUUCUUCCCUUCCUCUUUUGUUCUCUUGUGGUUUGAGGACUAUCAUUAGUGUUGUGUUUGAUGCUUUUUUAUUUGUGUAUGCAUCUGUUUUAGAUUUUUGGUUUUCAGUUCUCAUGAGGUUUUGGUAUUAGAGUGUGUGUACAUGUAUGUGUGUGUGUGUGUAUAUAUAUAUUCGCACACAAGAUCAUUUUAAGUUGCAGGUCUCUUAAUUACAAAAGCAUCUCCAGUAGUCUGUGUUUGUAACCCCCUCAUUUCAUGAUUGCUUGGUUUGAUACCAUAUUUGGGUGCAGAUAUUUUCCUAUCUUUAUAUUUCCCUUUAUUGGUGAGCCUUCUCAUUUGUGAUUUUCUUGUUUCUAGUGGUGGCCUUUUCUUUUUCACCUAGAGAAGUUCCUCUAGCAUUUGUUGUAAAGCUGGUUUGAUGGUGCUGAAUUCUCUUAGCUUUUUGCAUGUCUAUAGAGCUUUUGAUUUCUUGGUCAAAUCUAAAUGAGAGCUUUGCUGGGUGGAGUAUUCUUGGCAGUAGGGUUUUUUUGCCUUUCAUCACUUUUACCAUGCCAUUCCCUUCUGGUCUGUAGAAUUUCUGCUGAAAAAUCAUCUAAUAACCUUUUUGGCAUUCUCUUUUAGGUUAUAUGUUGCUUUUCCCUAGCCAAUUUCAUUAUUUUCUCCUUGUCUUUGAUUUUAGUCAGUUUAAUUGUGUCUGGAGACGUUCCUCCUGGAGUUUAUUCUAUAUAGAACUCAUUGUGCUUCUUGGAUCUGAGUGAUUCUUUUCCUGUUUUCAGGAAGUUUUUGGCUUUGAUCUCUUCAAAUAUUUUCUCCAGUCCUCUCUUUUCUCCUUCUGUCACUUUUAUAAUGCAAAUAUUGUUGUGUUUAAAGUUGUCCCAGAGUUCUUUUAGACUGUUCUCAUUUCAUUCUUUUUUUCUUUAUUCUAUUCCACACCAGUAAUUUCCACCAGUCUGUCUUCCACUUUGCUUAUUUGUUCUUCUGCCUCAUGGAUUCUGCUAUUGAUUUCUUCUAGUGUAUUUUCCAUUUCAGUUAUUCUGUUUUUCAUCUCUUUUGUUCUGUUGUUCAUCUCUGUUCUUUAAAUCUUUGUUGUUGUUGUUGUUAAAUCUUUCUUAUCAUUUCUCGAUUUUUGCCUCUGGAUUUUUUCCAAAGUCUUGGAUCAUCCUUACUAUCAUAAUUCUAAAGUCUUUUUCAUGUAGGUUGCCUAUCUCCACUUAGUUGUUCUUCUGGGGUUUUGUCUUGUUUCUUCAUCUGGAGCAUAUUUAUCUGCCAUUUUAUGUUGUCUAGCUAUCUGUGUGUGUUGUCUCCUUUCUGCAGGCUGCAGGGUUGUAGCCUCUUUUGUUUCUGGUGUAUGCCCCCCAGUGAGUGAAGCUGAUACAGGGACUUGUAGCAGGCUUCCUGAUGGGAGGGACUAGUUAGUGCCUGCCCACUGGUUGGUGGGAAUGAGUCUUGUCCCUCUGGUAGGCAGGGCCAUGUCAUAGGUGGAUGUGUCCACAGAAGGACUUUAGGCAGCCCGUCUGCUGAUGGGUGGGGCUGUGUUCCCACCAUUUGUUGUUUGGCCUGGGGCUUAUCAGCACUGGUGCUGACAUGCUGUUGGGUGGGGCCAGGUUUUUCCAAAAUGGCAGCCUCCAGGAGAAUGCAUGCCUAUAAAUAUUCCCUGAGACCUCUGCCUACAGUGUCCUGCCCCCACAAUGAGACAUAGCUGACUCCUGCCUCCCUAGCAGACCCUCCAAGACCCACAGGUAGCUCUGUCCCUGACUCUUAAGGAGUCUGUUCUUUGCCCUGGGACCUAGUGUGCAUGAAACCUUGUGUGUGCACUCCAAGAGUAGAGUCUCUGUUUCCGCCAGUCCUGUGGAGCUCCUUUGCUGCCCUUCAAUGCCAAAUGCUAUGGGGGCUCCUCUUAGCAGUGUUAGACCCCCCAGGUUGGGGAACCUGACCAUGGGGUUCAGAACUCUCACACCUGUAAGAGAACCUCUGCAAUAUAGUUAUUUUCUUGUUUGUCAAUUGCUCAUCUGGCAGGUGUAGAAUUGCUCAUAUCAAGAACGAGCCCCUCCUUCCAUCUCAUUGGGGCUUCCUCUUUAUCUUUGGGUGUAGGAUAUCUUUUUUGGUAACUUCUAUUUUGUCAGUGGUCGUUCAGCAGCUAAUUGUGAUUUUUGGUGAUUUGUGAAAGGUGAGCUUGAGUCCUUCUGCUCCACCAUUUUGUCUGAUCCAAGUACAGGGGUUGACAUUUUUUAAAUGAGAGUUUUACCACAUGAAAGCAAAGAUUAGAGAAGCAACUUUGGAGGAAUCUAUGUUUCUGUCUUUUCUGUCCCACAGAGACUCCGAGUAUAAGCCUCCAAAAGGAAGAACCUUUGGAAGUUAUGGAAAGCCCUGAGCCUUUAACCAAGAGUGUAGGGGAGCUCCCAGAAUCUACAGCUGUCAUACAAGAGCCUGCCUAGAAAAGCAUCAGAAAUGCUUCCCACAGAUGACAGUAGACAACCAACUGGUGUCCACUGAGCCAGCCUUUGAAUGCACCCAAACACCCACCAUGGCACCAACAGUGAGGCCACCCUCCAAACUAUACUGCCUACCAUGGAGGCCCCUCCUCCUGAAAUAUAACCCCAAAGCCCCCCACUAGCGAAUCCUCCUAAUAAUCCUCUUUCAUGUUGUUUUCCACCACAUCCAGCAUGUCCUUCUCCUCCUUGGGCUGUCUUCAAAGAAGAAUUAACCACAAACUUGCCCACUUCUUACCCUUCCUCUCUGUGCCCGGGGUGACCCGAUGGUGGAGUGGUCAAGAAAGGCAUACAGCAGAGCCAGGGAGGCUCUCAGGAAAACCAUUCUGGUCUUCCUUUCAUCUC
rnacentral:lncRNA from 1 species